UGCGAGUCUAAGGGGUACUUGUACCCCUGGCAUAAUGCUCAGUAACACGUGCGAUAAUCUACCCUUAGGUGGGGCAUAAACCCGGGAAACUGGGGCUAAUUCCCCAUAGAUACAGAAGGCUGGAAUGCCUCUGUAUUCAAAGCUCCGGCGCCUAAGGAUGAGUCUGCGACCUAUCAGGUAGUAGUCAGGGUCACGACCUGACUAGCCAACGACGGGUACGGGGUGUGAGAGCACUUGCCCGGAGAUGGUUUCUGAGACACGAAACCAGGCCCUACGGGGCGCAGCAGGCGCGAAAACUUCGCAAUGCGGGAAACCGUGACGAGGGAACUCCAAGUGUCUAUGCAAUGCAUAGACUGUUUUUCAGCCUAAAUAGCUGUUAGAGUAAGGGGUGGGUAAGACCGGUGCCAGCCGCCGCGGUAACACCGGCACCCCGAGUGGUAGCCACUAUUAUUGGGCCUAAAGCGUUCGUAGCCGGUUUAGUAAAUUCUUGGGUAAAUCGUACAGCUUAACCGUGCGGAUUCCGGGGACACUACUAGACUUGAGACCGGGAGAGAUUAGAGGUACUUGCAGGGGAGCGGUGAAAUGUUGUAAUCCUGCAGGGACCACCAGUGGCGAAGGCGUCUAAUCAUAACGGCUCUGACGGUGAGGAACGAAACCCUGGGGCGCAAACGGGAUUAGAUACCCCGGUAGUCCAGGGCGUAAACGCUGCUGACUUGGUGUUGGAGAUCCUACGA
rnacentral:rRNA from 1 species